CCUGGUGGCAAUAGCGCUGUGGAACCACCCGAUCCCAUCCCGAACUCGGAAGUGAAACGCAGUAGCGCCGAUGGUAGUGCGGCAUAUGCCGUGUGAGAGUAGGUCACCGCCAGGC
rnacentral:rRNA from 1 species